CAUGGCUUAGUGGUUAGAGUAUUUGGCUCACAAUCAUAAGGUCAUGAGUUCAAUUCUCAGUG
rnacentral:tRNA from 1 species